rnacentral:rRNA from 1 species
AACACGUGGGCAAUCUGCCCUUCACUCUGGGACAAGCCCUGGAAACGGGGUCUAAUACCGGAUAAUACCUGCCUGGGCAUCUGGGUGGGUUGAAAGCUCCGGCGGUGAAGGAUGAGCCCGCGGCCUAUCAGCUUGUUGGUGAGGUAGUGGCUCACCAAGGCGACGACGGGUAGCCGGCCUGAGAGGGCGACCGGCCACACUGGGACUGAGACACGGCCCAGACUCCUACGGGAGGCAGCAGUGGGGAAUAUUGCACAAUGGGCGAAAGCCUGAUGCAGCGACGCCGCGUGAGGGAUGACGGCCUUCGGGUUGUAAACCUCUUUCAGCAGGGAAGAAGCGAAAGUGACGGUACCUGCAGAAGAAGCGCCGGCUAACUACGUGCCAGCAGCCGCGGUAAUACGUAGGGCGCAAGCGUUGUCCGGAAUUAUUGGGCGUAAAGAGCUCGUAGGCGGCUUGUCACGUCGGGUGUGAAAGCCCGGGGCUUAACCCCGGGUCUGCAUUCGAUACGGGCUAGCUAGAGUGUGGUAGGGGAGAUCGGAAUUCCUGGUGUAGCGGUGAAAUGCGCAGAUAUCAGGAGGAACACCGGUGGCGAAGGCGGAUCUCUGGGCCAUUACUGACGCUGAGGAGCGAAAGCGUGGGGAGCGAACAGGAUUAGAUACCCUGGAGUCCACGCCGUAACGGUGGAACUAGGU